rnacentral:rRNA from 1 species
CCUACGGGAGGCAGCAGUGAGGAAUAUUGGUCAAUGGACGAGAGUCUGAACCAGCCAAGUAGCGUGAAGGAUGACUGCCCUAUGGGUUGUAAACUUCUUUUAUAAAGGAAUAAAACGAGGCACGUGUGCCUUUUUGCAUGUACUUUAUGAAUAAGGAUCGGCUAACUCCGUGCCAGCAGCCGCGGUAAUACGGAGGAUCCGAGCGUUAUCCGGAUUUAUUUGGUUUAAAGGGAGCGUAGAUGGGUUGUUAAGUCAGUUGUGAAAGUUUGCGGCUCAACCGUAAAAUUGCAAUUGAUACUGGCAGUCUUGAGGACAGUUGAGGUAGGCGGAAUUCGUGGUGUAGCGGUGAAAUGCUUAGAUAUCACGAAGAACCCCGAUUGCGAAGGCAGCUUACUAAACUGUGACUGACAUUGAUGCUCGAAAGUGUGGGUAUCAAACAGGAUUAGAUACCCUGGUAGUC